UACGUAGGGUGCAAGCGUUGUCUGGAAUUAUUGGGCGUAAAGAGCUUGUAGGCGGUUUGUCGCGUCUGCUGUGAAAUUUCGGGGCUCAACCCCGAACUUGCAGUGGGUACGGGCAGACUAGAGUGUGGUAGGGGAGACUGGAAUUCCUGGUGUAGCGGUGAAAUGCGCAGAUAUCAGGAGGAACACCGAUGGCGAAGGCAGGUCUCUGGGCCACUACUGACGCUGAGAAGCGAAAGCAUGGGGAGCGAACAGG
rnacentral:rRNA from 1 species